AGAUCCCUGCGGUGUACGCCAGUGGAUUGGAUACUACUUGAGCCUAUACUACUCGCUAGGGGGCAGGAUUCGAUGGUGCCAAUGUGCAUGUCCACCAAGUAGUGGAAAGCCUACGGCAUCACGCGGAGCUCCCACUUGAACUUCUCGGUUCAAGAGCGAUAUUCACAGCGGCACCGCGGGGUUUUA
rfam:Nitrosococcus halophilus Nc4, complete genome.